UGUACUUUCUAGCUAGCCUAGGACUCACCAUACAGCCCCCGAACUCAUAAGAAGAGCUGCCCACCUCAGCUCCUGGGGCUUUCAAUCCCAGAAAGCCAUGUGCCACCACUCCCUGCCCAACUUUUCCUUCCAAAACCCAUUUCUCCAUUGUCUUAAAUCCUACUAGCGUUUGGAAGUGCAACAGAUCCAAUGUUCAUUACCUACAGAUUCUAUAAGAAACAAAACAUCUAAUUUUAUCCUCUUCAAACACCAGGGAGCUGUCCAGAGGAAGUCAUUCACUGGAUACAGAGAAGAGGAAAGGCAAGAUGCCUUGAGUCACAAAAGACUGUCCCUGUCCCCCCAAGACCCUGUUCAGGUCCUGUCUCCUCCCAGGGCUCUUCCUUCAACCUUAUGAAUGUUUACAUCUUUCUCCAAAGUCCUGCAAGGCUGAUUGUGAGACAGCUGGCAUCCAUCACUGCCUUUAAUUCCAGUCAAAAUAUGAUUAUUCCAAUAGGGAUAGGAAGCUGAAAACAAUCUAAUCAGAGACGGACAGGCAUGCUUGCAAGGAGCCACAAUGAAACUCAAAUUAGCAUGACGCUGCUAUUCUGAAGAGGAGGAAGCUGAGAAAACUUUCCCAGAAAAGAUGACAUGUGACCUGUCUUUGAAAGGAGUAGAAUUUCACCAAGUUAUAACGUCGGGGUAGGGGUGAAAGGAGGGGGGUUUUCAUUCCUCCAGCAGAAAAGCCAGUGGUGCCUGAAAUGGAAAAGUGGCAGUAAGCAAAGAUGGAAAGAGGAAUUGGGGGUCUGGUGGGGAAAGCGCUAAUUUGUACUCUAAAAAUGAAAUGAAAAGCUUUGUCUAGAUUUUGAACUUCUCAAGAGCCAAGAUCAAUCAUAUUCUCCAUAAAUGCUCUAUUAGUAUACCCCUAAGCCCCCAAGCCCGGCAAACAGAUACUCAUUUGUUGACAGACAUAAAACCCUGUGUCAUCUGUGUGAUGUCACUGUUAGGAGGGGUUGUUCAAGGUGUUUUGGGUAGCACUGAACCUGUGGUUUAAAAGUGACAAUAACUUCAGUAAAAGUGGCCCAUUUUUCUUAAAAUGUCCUAUUCCCCCAUCACUACUGAGGUCUCAUUCUGUGUCUUUACUGUGGCUUCAGUUUUCUACAGUUAAGUGCCUCCUGGUUUCCUGCAUAAGGGUACCCUGCGGCCACAGACUGCCACACCACCACCAUUCCACACUGGCAGCUAUAAUUAAAGAGUAGUAGGAUUAUGGGGGGGGGGGUGCUAUUUAAUUGCUCUCAUUCAUUCACUCAACAAUCAUAAAACCCUAUGGUACCUAACCAGGAAACCGAGGGGGAGGAUCCUGGCACGGGGACCGGCAUCUGUCGGAGCUGCACGCCGGCCCAAGCUGAACACAAAAGAAUCCUCCAGAAAGGGUCUUUCAAGCGAAAAGAAAAGAUCUCUGACCCCCGGCGCCGGGAACCGCGUUCAGAUUUCGUCGUAAACAGCUGUUUCGGUCGGCGAGGGCAGGGGCGCGCCGGGGAGUCCGGCCUGGAGGGUGGGCCUCACCCAUCCCUGUUCUCCUCCUCGCUCCACCCUGCAUCCUCGGGACCCGACCGGCUGGGAGAGGUCCAGAAACCGGAGCGCUUUCGCCCGGUGGAUCCCGGGCCGGCCCGCCGGCCUCUGCCCCGCUCACCUGCCGCGGCGUCGGCGACCACCCAGGGUCACUCCGGCUGCGAGUACCGCGGGGUCCGCGACGCGAAAGGGGGGGAGCGAUGCGCGCCGGCCUGGGCGCCUGGGCCUCGACCCCCGCCGGGGCGCCUGGCUCUCCCCGAGCUGCGGGCCGUCCUCUGUGCCCCGCGUCGGUGGGCAGCGCCGGCCGCGCUCAGUGCGGGGCGGGGGAGGCGGGAUGCGCCUGCCCAGCGUGGGCGGCGCCAUGCUCCUGUACGGACCGGCGGCCGGCUCUCCCGCUGUCACCAAGGGGCUCGGGAAUCUGGCGCUCGGAGCUGAGCUUCACUACGUUUUUGUGUGGAAAGGCUGAUGCGGGCCCGGGGAGGGGGGCGGCCGAGGGAGUGCGGUGGCCCCCGGCUCGAAGUCGCUCCGGCCGCACAGGGAGGCGCCAUGUUGAGGUUGGGCAAAAGCGGAGGCGAUGGCGCGCAGUUAAAAGUGUGGUAAAGCGCAGGGCGCCUUAGAAGCUACUUUCCCUGCCAGGACUUUGAAAACUGAAUAUUCCAUCAACCAGGCCAAUCUCACUCCCUUGCCUUCAUUUUGGACACCCACACACUCACAGGCUCCUUUUGGAUUCUGAGCCCUGGCUUGAGCGGUCCCUUCGAAGUGUUUGGGUGACCGAGGCUUCAGCUUGAUAUGAAAAGAGGCGAGAGCAGCGGUUCCCUAGCUCAGCCCUUGGAGAAGUUGCGUUCCAGAAAGGAAGAUCAUUUCCCCUAAAUAUCAUGUCCCUGGGUCCAUAAAGUUGGGGCGGGCAUGAUCAUUGUUGUACAAGAAAAAAAAAAUUAAGCCAACAAAAACAUCACCCCACUCCAAGCCUGGGGCGCUAUAAUAGCUAACUUCACUAACAGAAAUACUUUGUCAUCUGUCUCUAUCUUAAAUAAAAGAUAGGAAUCUUU
rnacentral:lncRNA from 1 species